GCCCACACCAGGACCGUUGGUUUGGAAAGGACACGAGGGGACUGACUGACUUGUUUAAGCUCGUUAAAAGUGACAUUUGCUGUAUAUGUGGAAUUGCAAAGCCUGUUCAGUUGUUGUACCAAACUGAGGCACUGGACAAUGACAUUGGCUGUUCUUCAAAUCAUUUUGGGGGAGAGCAGCUGCCAGAGAGUGGUUUUUCCAUCUGGCUUGCCUGAAUCUGUGACUGAACUAGAAGAUGCUGUAAGGAGUCAAUGUAAGCUACAGGACCCCUUUCGUCUGCAGUUUAUGGACACUCUUUUUGAUAACCAGUUUAUGAAUUUGACUUCAAUUAAUGAAAUUAAGGACAAAGCCAAAAUAAAAAUA